UACGGGGGGGGGCAAGCGUUGUUCGGAAUUACUGGGCGUAAAGGGCUCGUAGGCGGCCAACUAAGUCGGAUGUGAAAUCCCCCAGGCUCAACCUGGGAACUGCAUCCGAUACUGGAUGGCUUGAAUUCGGGAGAGGGAUGCAGAAUUCCAGGUGUAGCGGUGAAAUGCGUAGAUAUCUGGAGGAAUACCGGUGGCGAAGGCGGCAUCCUGGACCGACAUUGACGCUGAUGAGCGAAAGCUAGGGGGAGCAAACGGGG
rnacentral:rRNA from 1 species